rnacentral:misc_RNA from 1 species
AACGUAGGAACCGAGCGUUAUCCGAAUUUACUGGGCGUAAAGCGCGUGCAGGCGGAUUGGUAAGUUGGAUGUGAAAGCUCCUGGCUCAACUAGGAGAGGACGUACAAUACUGCUAAUCUAGAGGGUGUCAGAGGAAGGUGGAAUUCCCGGUGUAGUGGUGAAAUGCGUAGAUAUCGGGAGGAACACCAGUGGCGAAGGCGGCCUUCUGGGGCACACCUGACGCUAAGACGCGAAAGCUAGGGGAGCGAACGGG